ACCUGGGUGGCUCAGUCAGUUAAGCGUCUGACUUCAGCUCAGGUCAUGAUCUCAUGGCUGGUGGGUUCAAGCCCCAUGUCAGGUU
rnacentral:tRNA from 1 species